rnacentral:tRNA from 1 species
GACUCAGUGGUCCAAUGGUAAAGCGUUCGCCGCGGAGCCAGAGGGUCCUGGGUUCGAUCCCUGAUGGGUUA